UACGUAGGGUCCGAGCGUUUGUCCGGAAUUACUGGGCGUAAAGAGCUCGUAGGUGGUUUGUCGCGUUGUUCGUGAAAACUCACAGCUUAACUGUGGGCGUGCGGGCGAUACGGGCAGACUUGAGUACUGCAGGGGGAGACUGGAAUUCCUGGUGUAGCGGUGGAAUGCGCAGAUAUCAGGAGGAACACCAGUUGGCGAAGGCGGCUCUGGGGCGUAUACUCUGAGGACGAAGAACGUGGGGGAGCAAACAG
rnacentral:rRNA from 1 species